CACGUGCUUCAGGUGGGAGGAGCUUAGAGUCACGGAAGUGCGCGACAGGUUCGCACCAGCAGAGGCUGCGUUUUUCCGGGCGUCCGAGCAGCAAAGCCAGCGGAAAAACUUCCAGGACUGACGGCGAGUCGUCCUGUGGUGGAUGUGGGUGAACUCCGGAAGCUGCCAGAGGACCGGACUUUUGCCAUAAGAGGGAGAGAGUGAGGACCGGGAGAGAAGCUGUAGCCGUUGUACUUGAGCGGGGUUCAUCGCACGCGCCGUUCCCGUGCCGCUGACGCGCCAUCUUGCCAUUCGCCCCGCCCCCUCAUCGCCAUCUCUGACUGUGAGGACUCCCUCUACCUGCUGCUCACAGGCUUCCUCCGACUCUCUGACCGGCUCUUAGCUUCACCCACAGACCCUCCGGGUUCCACAUCCACCAAAAACACCUGGAAAACACCUGAGAAACACCUGAAAAACACCUGAAAAUCACCUGAGAAACACCUGAAAAACACCUGAAAAUCACCUGAGAAACACCUGAGAAACACCUGAAAAACACCUGGACACGGGACAGAGGAGCCGGGACGGCUUCCUGUUUAUCAGAGGACGAAAAUGGACAAACAAGGAGAAGCAAUUUAUGAAAUGGAUAAAAAAUGAGUUAUUGCAAAAAGGCGCUGAACAUCUUCUCUGGUUUCUUUAAAUAAGAAAAAUAAGUGAAGCUGACGUGGAUCCUUAUUGUCAGAGCGCUGGGUUUUAAUAGAGGACACGAGUGAUGAGGCCGAGGUUCAAACAAAAGGUAUUUAAUGAAGACGAAACUCAAGAGGACUUAAACUCAUGGCAUGGAACAGAAUUUAAGACAAUUUAAGACAAUUAUAAAAGACGGAGAAAUCAGCUCCACUGCUCUUGUGUUUGCUCUUGGUUUCCUGUAGCACGUGUCCCUAUGUUGUUGUGUUUUGUGAGUUUGCUGAAACCAUUCAAUGAGUUUUAAUUACCUGUUUUAAAUAAAGGACGUUACCUGUUGAA